UACAACCCCAAGAAACAACUCCCGACCCCAAAAAGAAGACAUACCCACAAUUGCUCUUCCUAUCAUCAAUGUCACCAGCAUAAUCGCUGUCAGUGAAUCCAUGUAAGCCAACAAUCAUUGAGGUCUCUCUUUUGUACCACAUUCCAAAGUCAAUGGUAUCCUUCAAAUACCGAAAAUUUCUUUUCUCAGCAAAGAGAUGAAACUCAGUGGGAAUAACCGCGGUGACAGUUGUACUUCAGGUUCUGAUUGUCGAGUUUCUGGGCAAGUUUACUACAACAGUCCGGCUUAACUGGAAGCAUCGGUUGAUUUUCUGUUGUCAUCGCUUUUUUUUUCUCCGACUUGUUCGUUUUUCAGCUUUGCUUUGAAUCAUGUCAUUGUUCCAAUCACUGCAAGUUCAAUUUUCUGGCGCAUUUUGGAGACGGCAAAUGCCUUGUAGCCCUACUAAAGUUUGAUAGGGGGUUUUCAAAAAAAAAAAAAGAAAGGUUUGUCCAUG